GAAAGGGAAACGAUUGAAGUCAGUCGUACCGACGAGAAAUCAACUUAUCGUGUGCGAACUUGUGGGCGUGCGUGAGUUUCGGCCUCGCUGUUUGCAUGUUUGUGCGUUUUGGGUGUACUUUUUCGUAUGGUAGGCCAACGUCAGUUUCGAUUAUCAUAAAAUGACCGGCGGAAUGUAGCUUCGAUUUCGGUUGAAGUGUUAUAGCCUCUGGUAGAUGUGGUGAUUGAGACUGAGGAUUGCAACGAAUACCCUUUGGGCUAUCCGUCUGGCCUCUGAAAGUUGCUCAGGUGCCGAAAGCGUGCUUACGGUCAUCUAAGAUAACGUUCAACAGGUUAGAACGUGAUUACAUUCGUUAAGGAUGUUGACGUA
rnacentral:rRNA from 1 species